AGUGAACGCUGGCGGUAGGCCUAACACAUGCAAGUCGAACGGCAGCACAGUAAGAGCUUGCUCUUACGGGUGGCGAGUGGCGGACGGGUGAGGAAUACAUCGGAAUCUACUUUUUCGUGGGGGAUAACGUAGGGAAACUUACGCUAAUACCGCAUACGACCUACGGGUGAAAGCAGGGGAUCUUCGGACCUUGCGCGAUUGAAUGAGCCGAUGUCGGAUUAGCUAGUUGGCGGGGUAAAGGCCCACCAAGGCGACGAUCCGUAGCUGGUCUGAGAGGAUGAUCAGCCACACGAGAACUGCGACACGGUCCAGACUCCUACGGGAGGCAGCAGUGGGGAAUAUUGGACAAUGGGCGCAAGCCUGAUCCAGCCAUACCGCGUGGGUGAAGAAGGCCUUCGGGUUGUAAAGCCCUUUUGUUGGGAAAGAAAAGCAGCAGGUUAAUACCCCGCUGUUCUGACGGUACCCAAAUAAUAAGCACCGGCUAACUUCGUG
rnacentral:rRNA from 1 species